GAUGAACGCUGGCGGCGUGCCUAAUACAUGCAAGUCGAGCGAACGGACGAGAAGCUUGCUUCUCUGAUGUUAGCGGCGGACGGGUGAGUAACACGUGGAUAACCUACCUAUAAGACUGGGAUAACUUCGGGAAACCGGAGCUAAUACCGGAUAAUAUUUUGAACCGCAUGGUUCAAAAGUGAAAGACGGUCUUGCUGUCACUUAUAGAUGGAUCCGCGCUGCAUUAGCUAGUUGGUAAGGUAACGGCUUACCAAGGCAACGAUGCAUAGCCGACCUGAGAGGGUGAUCGGCCAAACGGGAACGGAGACACGGUCCAGACUCCUACGGGAGGCAGCAGUAGGGAAUCUUCCGCAAUGGGCGAAAGCCGGACGGAGCAACGCCGCGUGAGUGAUGAAGGUCUUCGGAUCGUAAAACUCUGUUAUUAGGGAAGAACAUAUGUGUAAGUAACUGUGCACAUCUUGACGGUACCUAAUCAGAAAGCCACGGCUAACUACGUG
rnacentral:rRNA from 1 species